rnacentral:rRNA from 1 species
AGCGAACGCUGGCGGUGGGCCUAACACAUGCAAGUCGAACGGCAGCACACUAAGAUCUUGCUCUUACGGGUGGCGAGUGGCGGACGGGUGACGUGUACAUCGUGAUCUACUCUUUCGUGGGGGUUAACGUAGCGGAACUUACGCUAAUACCGCAUACCCUCUACCGGUGAAAGCAGUGGAACUUCGCACCUUGCGCGAAUGGAUUAGCCGAUGUCGGACUAGCUAGUUGGCGGGGUAAAGGCCCACCCAGGCGACGAUCCGUAGCUGGUCUGAGAGAAUGGUCAGCCACACGGGAACUGGGACACGGUCCAGGCUCCUGAGGUAGGCAGCAGUGGGGAAUAUUGGGCAAUAGGCGCAAGCCUGAUCCAGCCAUAGCGCGUGGGUGAAGAAGGCCUUGGGGUUGUAAAGCCCUUUUGUUGGGAGAGAAAAGCAGCAGGUUGAGACCACGCUGUUCUGACGGUACCCAAUGAAUAAGCACCGGCUAACUUCGUG